rnacentral:tRNA from 1 species
GCCGGAGUAGCUCAGGGGUAGAGCAAUUCUUUCGUAAAGAAUAGGCCGUGAGUUCGAAUCUCACCUCCGGCU